CUUGUACACACCGCCCGUCACACCAUGGAAGUUGGUUGCACCAGAAGUAGGUAGCCUAACCGCAAGGGGGGCGCUUACCACGGUGUGGCCAAUGACUGGGGUG
rnacentral:rRNA from 1 species